GGGCUCGUAGUCUAGUGGUUAGGACGCUGCCCUCACACGGCAGUGAUCCGGGGUUCAAAUCCCCGCGGGCCCA
rnacentral:tRNA from 1 species